UACGGAGGGUGCAAGCGUUAUCCGGAUUCACUGGGUUUAAAGGGUGCGUAGGUGGAAUGGUAAGUCAGUGGUGAAAUCUCCAAGCUUAACUUGGAACUGCCGUUAAUACUAUCAUUCUUGAAUAUCGUGGAGGUAAGCGGAAUAUGUCAUGUAGCGGUGAAAUGCUUAGAUAUGACAUAGAACACCGAUUGCGAAGGCAGCUUGCUACACGAUCAUUGACACUGAGGCACGAAAGCGUGGGGAUCAAACAGG
rnacentral:rRNA from 1 species